rnacentral:tRNA from 1 species
GGCUUAAUUGAAGCUUGGUCAACAAGCGCAGGUCUUAUAAGCCUGAGAUCCGGGGUUCAAAUCCCCGAUGGCCCA